rnacentral:rRNA from 1 species
UACGGGGGGAGCAAGCGUUGUUCGGAUUUACUGGGCGUAAAGGGCGCGUAGGCGGUCGUGACAAGUCACUUGUGAAAUCUCCGGGCUUAACUCGGAACGGUCAAGUGAUACUGUCGGACUAGAGUACAGAAGGGGCAACUGGAAUUCUCGGUGUAGCGGUGAAAUGCGUAGAUAUCGAGAGGAACACCUGCGGCGAAAGCGGCUCUCUGGAACGGUACUGACGCUGAGACGCGAAAGCGUGGGGAGCGAACAGG